GAUGAACGCCGGCGGUGUGCCUAAUACAUGCAAGUCGUACGCACUGGCCCAACUGAUUGAUGGUGCUUGCACCUGAUUGACGAUGGAUCACCAGUGAGUGGCGGACGGGUGAGUAACACGUAGGUAACCUGCCCCGGAGCGGGGGAUAACAUUUGGAAACAGAUGCUAAUACCGCAUAACAACAAAAGCCRCAUGGCUUUUGUUUGAAAGAUGGCUUUGGCUAUCACUCUGGGAUGGACCUGCGGUGCAUUAGCUAGUUGGUAAGGUAACGGCUUACCAAGGCGAUGAUGCAUAGCCGAGUUGAGAGACUGAUCGGCCACAAUGGAACUGAGACACGGUCCAUACUCCUACGGGAGGCAGCAGUAGGGAAUCUUCCACAAUGGGCGCAAGCCUGAUGGAGCAACACCGCGUGAGUGAAGAAGGGUUUCGGCUCGUAAAGCUCUGUUGUUGGAGAAGAACGUGCGUGAGAGUAACUGUUCACGCAGUGACGGUAUCCAACCAGAAAGUCACGGCUAACUACGUGCCAGCAGCCGCGGUAAUACGUAGGUGGCAAGCGUUAUCCGGAUUUAUUGGGCGUAAAGCGAGCGCAGGCGGUUGCUUAGGUCUGAUGUGAAAGCCUUCGGCUUAACCGAAGAAGUGCAUCGGAAACCGGGCGACUUGAGUGCAGAAGAGGACAGUGGAACUCCAUGUGUAGCGGUGGAAUGCGUAGAUAUAUGGAAGAACACCAGUGGCGAAGGCGGCUGUCUGGUCUGCAACUGACGCUGAGGCUCGAAAGCAUGGGUAGCGAACAGGAUUAGAUACCCUGGUAGUCCAUGCCGUAAACGAUGAGUGCUAGGUGUUGGAGGGUUUCCGCCCUUCAGUGCCGGAGCUAACGCAUUAAGCACUCCGCCUGGGGAGUACGACCGCAAGGUUGAAACUCAAAGGAAUUGACGGGGGCCCGCACAAGCGGUGGAGCAUGUGGUUUAAUUCGAAGCUACGCGAAGAACCUUACCAGGUCUUGACAUCUUGCGCUAACCUUAGAGAUAAGGCGUUCCCUUCGGGGACGCAAUGACAGGUGGUGCAUGGUCGUCGUCAGCUCGUGUCGUGAGAUGUUGGGUUAAGUCCCGCAACGAGCGCAACCCUUGUUACUAGUUGCCAGCAUURAGUUGGGCACUCUAGUGAGACUGCCGGUGACAAACCGGAGGAAGGUGGGGACGACGUCAGAUCAUCAUGCCCCUUAUGACCUGGGCUACACACGUGCUACAAUGGACGGUACAACGAGUCGCAAACUCGCGAGAGUAAGCUAAUCUCUUAAAGCCGUUCUCAGUUCGGACUGUAGGCUGCAACUCGCCUACACGAAGUCGGAAUCGCUAGUAAUCGCGGAUCAGCAUGCCGCGGUGAAUACGUUCCCGGGCCUUGUACACACCGCCCGUCACACCAUGGGAGUUUGUAACGCCCAAAGU
rnacentral:rRNA from 2 species